rnacentral:rRNA from 1 species
GUAACGGCCCACCCGUGCCCGAUAAUCGGUACGGGUCANGAGAGUGAGAACCCGGAGACGGUAUCUGAGCCAAGAUACCGGGCCCUACGGGGCGCAGCAGGCGCGAAACCUUUACACUGCACGACAGUGCGAUAGGGGGACUCCGAGUGCGAGGGCAUAUAGUCCUCGCUUUUCUGUACCGUAAGGUGGUACAAGAAUAAGGGCUGGGCAAGACCGGUGCCAGCCGCCGCGGUAAUACCGGCAGCCCGAGUGAUGGCCGCUAUUAUUGGGCCUAAAGCGUCCGUAGCCGGCCAGACAAGUCCGUUGGGAAAUCGACGCGCUCAACGCGUCGGCGUCCGGCGGAAACUGUCUGGCUUGGGGCCGGAAGACUCGAGGGGUACGUCCGGGGUAGGAGUGAAAUCCCGUAAUCCUGGACGGACCGCCGGUGGCGAAAGCGCCUCGAGAAGACGGACCCGACGGUGAGGGACGAAAGCUAGGGUCUCGAACCGGAUUAGAUACCCGGGUAGUCCUAGCCGUAAACGAUGCUCGCUAGGUGUGCCGCAGGCUACGAGCCUGCGCUGUGCCGUAGGGAAGCCGUGAAGCGAGCCGCCUGGGAAGUACGUCUGCAAGGAUGAAACUUAAAGGAAUUGGCGGGGGAGCACUACAACCGGAGGAGCCUGCGGUUUAAUUGGACUCAACGCCGGACAUCUCACCAGCACCGACAGUAGCAGUGACGGUCAGUUUGAUGAGCUUACCUGAGCUACUGAGAGGAGGUGCAUGGCCGCCGUCAGCUCGUACCGUGAGGCGUCCUGUUAAGUCAGGCAACGAGCGAGGCCCGCACUCCUAGUUGCCAGCAGCAUCUUGCGAUGGCUGGGUACACUAGGAGGACUGCCGCUGCCAAAGCGGAGGAAGGAACGGGCAACGGUAGGUCAGUAUGCCCCGAAUGUGCUGGGCGACACGCGGGCUACAAUGGCCGGGACAGUGGGACGCCAGUCCGAGAGGACGCGCUAAUCCCCGAAACCCGGUCGUAGUUCGGAUUGAGGGCUGAAACUCGCCCUCAUGAAGCUGGAUUCGGUAGUAAUCGCGUGUCAGAAGCGCGCGGUGAAUACGUCCCUGCCCCUUGCACACAA